UACAAAGGGGGCUAGCGUUGCUCGGAAUUACUGGGCGUAAAGGGCGCGUAGGCGGGUCGUUUAGUUAGAGGUGAAAGCCCAGGGCUCAACCCUGGAAUUGCCUUUAAUACUGGCGGCCUUGAGUAUGGCAGAGGUGUGUGGAACUCCGAGUGUAGAGGUGAAAUUCGUAGAUAUUCGGAAGAACACCAGUGGCGAAGGCGACACACUGGGCCAUUACUGACGCUGAGGCGCGAAAGCGUGGGGAGCAAACAGG
rnacentral:rRNA from 1 species